CCACCAAGCAGUGGAUCAUUUUCAAAGACAGUCACAGGAAUUCACAACUGAAUCCUUCAAGCAGCGGAUCAUUUUCAAAGACCAUCACAGGCAAUUGAACCCUCCAAGC